AUAGAAUUAACUAGUUUUCUAAAUAGUGGAUAAGAUGAUAUUAUUUACAGUUUCUUAUUAUUAUUAUUUAAAA
rnacentral:tRNA from 1 species